rnacentral:rRNA from 1 species
AGAUUGAACGCUGGCGGCGUGCCUAACACAUGCAAGUCGGGCGGUAACAGGCGUAGCAAUACGUGCUGACGAGCGGCGAACGGGUGAGCAAUGCUUCGGAAUCUGCCCAAUGAUGGGGAAUAACCAGUCGAAAGAUUGGCUAAUACCGCAUAAGCCCUUCGGGGGAAAGCGGGGGGUCGCAAGACCUCGCGUCGAUGGAUGAGCCGAAGUCGGAUUAGCUAGUGGUAGGUAACGGCCUACCAAGGCGACGAUCCGUAGCUGGUCUGAGGGGACGACCAGCCACACUGGGACUGAGACACGGCCCAGACUCCCUACGGGAGGCAGCAGUGGGAAUAUUGGACAAUGGGGGCAACCCUGAUCCAGCGACGCCGCGUGUGUGAAGAAGGCCUGGCGGGUUGAAGCACGUUUUAGUGGGAUAGGAAAGCACUAUUGCUAAAGUACCAAGUUGUGUCCUUAGACCUAAACCC